rnacentral:rRNA from 1 species
GAUGAACGCUGGCGGCGUGCCUAAUACAUGCAAGUCGAGCGAACAGACGAGGAGCUUGCUCCUCUGACGUUAGCGGCGGACGGGUGAGUAACACGUGGAUAACCUACCUAUAAGACUGGGGUAACUUCGGGAAACCGGAGCUAAUACCGGAUAAUAUAUUGAACCGCAUGGUUCAAUAGUGAAAGACGGUUUUGCUGUCACUUAUAGAUGGAUCCGCGCCGCAUUAGCUAGUUGGUAAGGUAACAGCUUACCAAGGCAACGAUGCGUAGCCGACCUGAGAGGGUGAUCGGCCACACUGGAACUGAGACACGGUCCAGACUCCUACGGGAGGCAGCAGUAGGGAAUCUUCCGCAAUGGGCGAAAGCCUGACGGAGCAACGCCGCGUGAGCGAUGAAGGUCUUCGGAUCGUAAAACUCUGUUAUUAGGGAAGAACAAAUGUGUAAGUAACUAUGCACGUCUUGACGGUACCUAAUCAGAAAGCCACGGCUAACUACGUG